CGGGAGACAGUGUCAGGUAGGCAGUUUGACUGGGGCGGUCGCCUCCUAAAAUGUAACGGAGGCGCCCAAAGGUUCCCUCAGAAUGGUUGGAAAUCAUUCGCAGAGUGUAAAGGUAGAAGGGAGCUUGACUGCGAGACUGACAAGUCGAGCAGGGACGAAAGUCGGGCUUAGUGAUCCGGUGGUUCCGUAUGGAAGGGCCAUCGCUCAACGGAUAAAAGCUACCCUGGGGAUAACAGGCUUAUCUCCCCCAAGAGUCCACAUCGACGGGGAGGUUUGGCACCUCGAUGUCGGCUCAUCGCAUCCUGGGGCUGUAGUCGGUCCCAAGGGUUGGGCUGUUCGCCCAUUAAAGCGGUACGCGAGCUGGGUUCAGAACGUCGUGAGACAGUUCGGUCCCUAUCCGUCGCGGGCGCAGGAAAUUUGAGAGGAGCUGUCCUUAGUACGAGAGGACCGGGAUGGACGUUCCGCUGGUGUACCAGUUGUGCCGCCAGGCGCAUCGCUGGGUAGCUAUGAACGGAAGGGAUAAACGCUGAAAGCAUCUAAGUGUGAAGCCCCCCUCGAGAUGAGAUUUCCCAUUCCUAUAUGGAAGUAAGACCCCUGAGAGAUGAUCAGGUAGAUAGGCUGGAAGUGGAAGUGCAGCGAUGCAUGGAGCGGACCAGUACUAAUCGGUCGAGGACUUAACCAA
rnacentral:rRNA from 1 species